CACAUGAAAUAUUUACGGCCCACCUCCCAACCGAUGCCUUCGGCCGGAAUGAAAACAAGCCGCGUCGGACGGUCUCACCGGGGAGCGGCUGUGCCGGUGGCGUGAGGAGUUCGAGUCAGGGGCCGGAUGAGUCGGGGAUGGACAUUUGAGGCAGCUGGUGUUUACCGGCAGAGCGAUAAACUCUCCCGGCGGGUCGCGUGACGACUUCCGAAUUGAUGGUUAAUUUCAAACCGAGCAUUUACUGUCACCCCUUGA